UCCGCCGACACCGCCCACUUGUUUGGGCCCCCCAAGGACUCCCGUCUGCGCCACACGGCCCCGGCGCGCGCUCUCCGAAGCCCCCAUCAGAACAAGGCCGGCCUUAUCGGCGACGCCUUCACUGUUCUCAUAUUGCAAUGGAUACGCAGCACCUCCCCCACUUGUGAGGAGCCGCUUUGUGAGGAGCCGAUACCAAGCUACGGCGGUGAAGAAGACGUGGCAAGGAUAUCGAAAACGACGAAGCAGAAUCCUGCAGAAUGAGUCGCAAAGGUGAGAGAAGACGAUUGCUCUGGCACGAGCGUGAAACACACCUCGCUCGGCCUACCUGGUUCUUCGACGGCUCCUUGCCGUGCGACUCUGCGAACCGUUUCACGGGAGAGGCCCCUUCCUGGUGUCUUGGUGUACCCUCUCAAGGAGCGGCUGGAUAUCGGGCAGUGAUUGACUUAGGCAAACCAGACUGAUGGCUGUUUCUUCACCCGGCCAGGCAAGCACUGCCUGGUCGGCUUCACUUGAACCUCAUGGUUAUCCGAUUA